CGAAAACUUUGCAAUACACGAAAGUGUGACAGGGCUAUCCCGAGUGCCAUCCGCUGAGGAAGGCUUUUACCCAGUCUAGAACGCUGGGGGAAUAAGGAGAGGGCAAGUCUGGUGUCAGCCGCCGCGGUAAUACCAGCUCUCCGAGUGGUGUGGAUGUUUAUUGGGCCUAAAGCAUCCGUAGCUGGCUAAGUUAGUCCCUUGUUAAAUCCACCGAAUUAAUCGUUGGAUUGCGGGGGAUACUGCUUGGCUAGGGGACGAGAGAGGCAGACGGUAUUUCCGGGGUAGGGGUGAAAUCCUAUAAUCCCGGGAAGACCACCAGUGGCGAAGGCUGUCUGCUAGAACGCGCCCGACGGUGAGGGAUGAAAGCUGGGGGAGCGAACCGGAUUAGA
rnacentral:rRNA from 1 species